CUGUUGCCUCUGUGGAAAGUGCGCUGUAACAUACAUACAUGUGGUGGUUUGCAGUGCGAUCAUCAGCCGCAGCAGAAACGAUUUUAAGAGAGGCCUCUUCAACUUUAUAGCCGCCAUGCCUGCCGCAACUUGGACAACAGGAUAGCAAAUGCACAUCAGCUGCUCACGCAAGAUGUUGAGAGGUUUUGUAACAGCGUGGUGAACCAGUAUUCAAACUUAAGCAAGCUAUUUUUGGAUAUCGUUCUGUAUAUUGUCAAGCUGACAAAUGCUCAGGCUAUAUAGGUUAAGAUCCUUUAACCUGUCCUGGGACCAGCCAGCAUGAUGGCUUACCUACUCGUAGCUGACCUUUUCCUUACACACCUUAGAAGGCCUAUUGGUAAGAUGACAGUAGCCGAGCAGCGGUAUGAAGGUGAAAUACAGAUAUGUUAACUCCCGUCUCAUCAUCAAUAGGUAGUGAAGAAAUGGCCUUUUACAAUGGAAAUAAAAAAAUAAAA